AGGCACUCUCUCAUUUGCUCAGCUUUUGUAGCAGGCCUAACUGGGAGAAAACUCUUUUUCUCCUCGACAACAGGUGAAGGUUUAGAUACUGAAGGCUCCUCUGGAGGCAACCCAAGUUUUCGCCUUCUUUCUGCCUUGUCUUCUUCCAACUUUUGCUUGAUUUUCUCUCUAGCCCUUCUCUCUUCCUCUUUCUCUGCUUUUCUCAAAGCCAAUAUACGUUUUCUCUCAUUAUCUUCUUCAAUCCUCUUAGCUUCCAGCAGUUCCUUGCCAAUACGAAUUCUCUCCUUCUCUCUUUCUCUCUCCG
rnacentral:lncRNA from 1 species